UACGGGGGGGGCAAGCGUUGUUCGGAAUUACUGGGCGUAAAGGGCUCGUAGGCGGCCAACUAAGUCGGAUGUGAAAUCCCCAGGCUUAACCUGGGAACUGCAUCCGAUACUGGAUGGCUUGAAUCCGGGAGAGGGAUGCAGAAUUCCAGGUGUAGCGGUGAAAUGCGUAGAUAUCCGGAGGAACACCAGUGGCGAAGGCGACACGCUGGGCCGUACCUGACACUGAGGCGCGAUAGCAUGGGGAGCAAACAGG
rnacentral:rRNA from 1 species